UGGGGAAUAUUGGACAAUGGGCGAAAGCCUGAUCCAGCCAUGCCGCGUGUGUGAAGAAGGUCUUCGGAUUGUAAAGCACUUUAAGUUGGGAGGAAGGGCAGUAAGCGAAUACCUUGCUGUUUUGACGUUACCGACAGAAUAAGCACCGGCUAACUCUGUGCCAGCAGCCGCGGUAAUACAGAGGGUGCAAGCGUUAAUCGGAAUUACUGGGCGUAAAGCGCGCGUAGGUGGUUCGUUAAGUUGAAUGUGAAAGCCCCGGGCUCAACCUGGGAACUGCAUCCAAAACUGGCGAGCUAGAGUAGGGCAGAGGGUGGUGGAAUUUCCUGUGUAGCGGUGAAAUGCGUAGAGAUAGGAAGGAACACCAGUGGCGAAGGCGACCACCUGGGCUCAUACUGACACUGAGGUGCGAAAGCGUGGGGAGCAAACAGG
rnacentral:rRNA from 1 species